AUAUAUAUAUAUAUAUAUAUAUAUAUAUAUGUAACUAACAGCUGGAAACCCCUAUGCAGCAGUUGAAAUUGUGCGCCUAACUACCACCAGUAACUUUGACAUUGGAUUAGGAUGUGCCGGAUAGAGAUUUUGCCGGAUAACCGGAUGCCGGAUACCAUGUAAAAAAUAAGAGCCGGAUUCGGAUAUCCGGACGACUGCUGCCUUUUAUAAAUUUCGCAAUAUUGUUACAAUACGUAAUUAAGAAUACAAAAUAUCUCUUCUGAAAUCCAAGUUAUAAAAUAUUCCUGUAUUAAAAAUAUGACUUUUCCGUCUCCAACCCUGAUUUCUAGAUUACACAGACCUGCGAGUUAAAUAAAUUUAAAUACAUA